rnacentral:rRNA from 1 species
UACGAAGGGGGCGAGCGUUGUUCGGAUUUACUGGGCGUAAAGGGCGCGCAGGCGGCCAUUCAAGUCAGGCGUGAAAGCCCCGGGCUUAACCUGGGAGGUGCGUCUGGGACUGGGUGGCUAGAGAUCGGGAGAGGAGAGUGGAAUUCCCAGUGUAGAGGUGAAAUUCGUAGAUAUUGGGAAGAACACCGGUGGCGAAGGCGGCGACCUGGUCCUUGACUGACGCUGAGGCGCGAAAGCGUGGGGAGCAAACAGG